CGCGGGCUCGGCGCGGCCGCAGGUGCGGCGGGAGGCCGGCAGUACCGCCGCGCCCCCGCAGAGGGCAGGGCCGCCCCGCGGCUGCGGCCGCCCCCGCUCCGCUCCGCGCCGGGCCCGGCUCGGUCCGGCCGCACUCCGGGCAGCGAGCGCGGGCGAGCCCCGGCUGAGCCGAGCCGAGCGGAGCCGAGCGAAGCGGAGCGAUCUGUAUGAGUUGGGACCUGUAUCUGUACCGGGGAAUUACUUAAGUGCCCACUUAUACGGAGCGCACAAACCGAUCCAUUGGAACGCAAAAUUAUAACGUACAGAUUUAUGCAAGAGGGAUGACUGCAGAGUGCGUCGCAUGAGCAGUGUAAGAAGCUGAAAAUUGCUGCUGUUGUAGCUGUCAUAGGCACGUUAUUUUCUUUGGUAUGUGUGGAGAUUUUGCUGUCAGGCUUUUAUCCUCCAGAUUGUUUGUGCUGUACCUCUCUUCCUGCUUAAGAUAGAAAAUCAGUCACUGAACUUGGAUGCUAUUAAGUGUUCUUAGAAUAGUUCUUAACUAAGUUGGCUGAUUUGCACUUUCUGAUGAAGGAACAUUUGGUUGUUUAUUGCAGGCUCUGAACAAACAUGCUUUUCCAGAAUCAACUAAUAAGAUUACUAAUUGCAUUUCAUCAACAGAAUUGUUUAUAAUUCCUUUCAUCUAAUAUUUAUCUUUUUAGUUGUGUUUUUAUUUUGAAAUAUCUGGAGUUAAUCUGCAUCAAACAUUGUGUCUUGUCUGCAUUUUGCAGGGGUUAACAGGGAAUGCUGGUGUCUUAUGUACUUCAUAGGAGAAGGGGGACAGCAAAUAGUCUCAGGUAUUUGGUAGGAUUGUUAUCCUAAAUUCAGCCCCUUACCCAGCCUUUCUCCAUUAUCUUUUGAUCUGCCAUUCCCCACUGGCCUAAAGCAACACAUUUGAUAUACUUCCAAAUGUAAAAAUCUUUUUGGGUUCUUAUAGUCCCUUGUCCCCUCAGAAUUCAUAGAUGCAUCUAUUUUCAGAAAGCACAUACAGUUGUCUAAAAUGGAUCUAAACAGUUCUCUAAACAGGUCUAAAAUGCUGGGGCUCUUGAUUUUUUGAAAUGAUAAAAUAAUACUUUGCUUUUUCAAGCUUCUCCCUUCUGCUCUCUAGGUAAGUCAUUCUACUGCACAAGUAUUUAUAUGAAAGACCCCAGACUCACAAAUGUGUAUGCUAUUUCAUCACACUGCUAUUUGGUUCUGUCUGGUACUCUGCAGAAGAUCAGAGGGAUCCUAGGGAUACUAGUUAGCCCCAUCAUUUUGUGUAUGUAAAUGACAGGGGAAAAAAUGUUCAGUUCAAGAAAGCAGAGAUGAUUCUUGCUUAGUUGGAUAUUAAAGCACUACUGCCAUUAUUAUUUGUUCUUAUUUCUCCAGAGGAUCUGUGUCUUGAUUAGGAUUCUGUUGUGGUAAGUGCCUCUAUCAAUCACAGAGAGAUCAAGUCCUUGUCUGAAGAUGUGCAUAUAAAGAUACCCCAUACAAUAGCAUGCCUUGGAGGAGCUUGAUGGUAAUUUCAUAAGCGUCAAAUAUAUUAAUGUGAAUUCAGGUAGACUAGCAUGUUUCUGAAGUCUGAGGUAUUUCAAGAUAAAACCUUUUAUUUAUUUAUUUAUUUAUUUAUUUAAAUUAUUCCUAUGAUUCUCCCAGGAAUAAUUGUGAUGCAAAAACAAAGGACUUACCUGACUUUCAGAUUUGCGACUUUCUGAACUUUGGGUACUGUCCUUUAAUAUGUUGAGUAAGGUUGUGUAGGAGUUCUGUGUUAGGUGCUUUCAUCAAAGGAAUGAAAAACUGAAGAUGAAUCCUUGUCACUAGUGCAGUUUACUUAAGAAUUUACUGAGGAUUUAUCCCUUAAUCUAAAGGUCAUAACAUUUUAAAUUACAUGAUUUUAAUAUUCAGAAUGGACCCAAUUGCCCUCUAAGCAGCUGAUAACUUUGAAAUGCUGUUAGUCACAGAUACCCAUACAUUACCUUCUCUCAUUUUCCUUUCAUAGAAAUAAUGAAACUUGAAUUUUACUGCAAACAUGCUUUUGUCUUUUGUUCAAGGAAAAGUGUAAGAGUUGACUAUAAGCCUGCUCAUGUGUGGUGUUCCUGAGUUCACUGCUUGAUUUGUUUGCAGAUAUGGCAAACCAAGAAGAUAUGUUUAAAAUACUGCCAGUUGUUUUCAUGUUUAGGAAGAAUCCCAUCCAUGAAGGAAUCUGAACUAGGAGGACAAGACAGAAGUUCUUGGCUGCACUCUUUUGCUAACAUCAUUAAGCUAUUGCCAUGAGAUUGUAUGAAGAUGCACCACCCAAGGAAUUUUAGAUAAAAUGUCACAGUUUGACAUCGAAUACAGGGCAUAUCCAUAUACAGGACACAUCCAUUCCAUUUCACAGAGCAUCCACUCUGUCUCCAGGCACAGCUGCAGGACUCUUCAUAAAUAAAUAACCUCGUGUAAGACAGAUUAUGUUCCUCAGAUAUCAAUCACUGGUAAAUAUCGUGUUCCUACUUACGAUGUAAGAAUACUAAAUGGAAACUCAUGAAGAUUUCAGAUUGCCAUUAUAUUUACAGUCCUGGGGCUUACUGCUGAGAAUUAUUGGAUGUCUUUGCCUCUGAAUGUGGCCUGAAAGCUGCAGUGGGAUACUCAUUCCUAGCUUGCCUCUCAGAUUUUCAAAUCAAGGUUAAUAGUACUUCUUAAAGCCCUGCCUCUAAAUCACUGUAAAUAUUGCAAAAGGGUUCCAAACUUUGUCAGAUGGGGUCAGUGAGGGAACAAAAGCCCAAACUCUUCCUUUCCUGAUUUCAUAUCUGGAAAAUGUUUUGGACCAAAAUCUUAGUAUUGUUUGAUUACAGGGACUAAAUGUAGUGGGGGAGAUGGAGGGAAAGACGUCUAAAAAAAGCCUGGAGUUUUGGAUUGCUUUCUAGUAUCUGCACAAUGAAAGGGCAGUUUGUUCAUUCCCCUUCUUUUACUGGGCCAUUAGCUCUUUUUCUGUCAGUGGUCAGACAUUCCCCAAUUCCAGCUGCAAAUAAUACAUCUCUCCAUGAACUGAUACCAAGAAACAGGGCUAUUUUAACCCUGAAUUCUUGCCAUCUUUCAGAGGCAGUGAGUCUUAUUUUUUUGUAAUCUGUUUGAAUGCUUCCCUCACCAGCCACUGUUGUCCACUGCCCAAA